AUGGAGCGGGUGAGCGAGGCCGCCGCCUGCGGCCCCUCGUCGGGCUGCUACACCUACCAGGUGAGCCGGCACAGCGCCGACGUGCUGCACAGCCUCAACCAGCAGCGCAAGAACGGCGGCCGCUUCUGCGACGUGCUCCUCCGCGUGGGCGACGAGAGCUUCCCGGCGCACCGCGCCGUGCUGGCCGCUUGCAGCGAGUACUUCGAGUCGGUGUUCAGCGCCCAGCUGGGCGACGGGGCAGGUGGCGGCGGCGGCGGCGCGGACGGGAGCGCGGCGGAGGCGGCGGCGGCCGGCGGGGCUGCGGCGGCGACCGGCGGCGCCCCCGGGGGCGGGCGGGAGCUGGAGAUGCACACCAUCAGCUCCAAGGUGUUCGGAGACAUCCUGGACUUCGCCUACACGUCGCGCAUCGUGGUGCGGCUGGAGAGCUUCCCGGAGCUCAUGACGGCCGCCAAGUUCCUGCUGAUGCGCUCGGUGAUUGACAUCUGCCAGGAGGUCAUCAAGCAGUCCAACGUGCAGCUCCUCGUGCCCCCCGCGCGCCCUGACAUUAUGCUGUUCCGUCCGGGGGCUGCCGACCUCGGCUUCCCUCUUGACAUGACCAACGGUGCCGCUUUGGCGCCCAAUGGCAACGGCAUCGCCGGCAUGCCCGAAGACGAGGCCACGCGGGCCGCACUCAGCGCCGCUCAGUCCUCCCUGCCCGUGCUGCAGGGCGUGGACCGCCUGCCCAUGGUGGCAGGACCUCUGUCCCCACCGCUGCUGGCCUCGCCCUUCCAGAACGUUGCUGCUAGUGCCCCCACUUUAGGCACCAAGAGGGGCAGAGGGCGUCCCCGCAAAGCCAACCUCUUGGACUCCAUGAUGUUUGGUACCCCCGGGGGCCUGCGAGAGGCCGGUAUCCUGCCUUGUGGCCUCUGUGGGAAAGUGUUUACGGAUGCUAAUCGUCUUCGGCAGCACGAGGCUCAACAUGGGGUGACGAGCUUACAGCUGGGCUACAUAGACAUCCCACCCCCCAGACUGGGUGAAAAUGGUGUCCCUGGUCAGGAUGACCCCGAUGCACCCCGGAAAAGAAGCAGGACGAGGAAACAGGUGGCCUGUGAGAUCUGUGGCAAGAUUUUUCGGGACGUGUACCACCUGAAUCGGCACAAGCUGUCGCACUCUGGCGAGAAGCCGUACUCUUGUCCAGUGUGUGGCUUGCGGUUCAAGCGGAAAGACAGGAUGUCCUAUCAUGUUCGAUCUCACGAUGGCUCUGUGGGAAAGCCCUACAUCUGCCAGAGCUGUGGAAAAGGCUUUUCCAGGCCAGACCACUUGAAUGGACACAUCAAACAGGUGCAUACCUCAGAGAGACCUCACAAGUGUCAGCAGGAAAAUGGCAGCCACCAUGGAAUAAGCUCAGAGACAUCCACAUCCAUAGAAAAGUUGAAACUUCAAGAGACUUGUAAUGCUUCCUUUGCCACUCGUGACCGGCUGCGCUCACACCUGGCCUGUCAUGAAGACAAAGUCCCAUGCCAGGUGUGUGGGAAGUACUUGAGAGCAGCAUAUAUGGCAGAUCACUUGAAGAAGCAUAGUGAAGGACCAAGCAAUUUCUGCACUAUCUGUAACCGAGGUUUCUCCUCUGCCUCCUACUUAAAGGUCCAUGUUAAAACCCACCACGGUGUUCCCCUUCCCCAGGUCUCCAGGCACCAGGAGUCCAUCCCGAAUGGGGGAGCAGCGUUCCACUGCGUCAGGACCUAUGGCAUCAAAGAAGGCCAGAAAUGUUCCCAUUCGGACCCGAUUGAGAGUUCUGAUUCAUACGGAGACCUCUCUGACACCAGUGACCUCAAGACUCCUGAGAAACAGAGCACCAACGGGUCCUUCUCGUGUGAGCUGGCAGUGAGCAAAAACAAAAUGGAGACGGAAGGGGAGAAGAAAUACCCGUGCCCUGAGUGCGGCAGCUUUUUCAGAUCCAAGUCUUAUCUGAACAAACACAUACAGAAAGUUCACGUCAGGGCCCUGGGUGGCCCCUUGGGGGACCUGGGUCCUGCUCUGGGAUCCCCCUUCUCACCCCAACAGAACAUGUCUCUCCUGGAGUCCUUUGGGUUUCAGAUCGUCCAGUCAGCAUUUGCAUCAUCCCUGGUGGAUCCAGAGGUCGACCAGCAACCGAUGGGGCCAGAGGGGAAAUGAGAUCAGUGUGAUCUUAGCAAAGCAAAGCAGCAGUCUGGCUAUAGUGAUAAGAUGCUGUGAAUGAAAGAGGAAAUAAUGGAAUUGGGUUCUAUAGCUGAGAAUUUUUUAUUCAUUUUAGCUUCCCUCUUUGUCUCAUGCCCAACCCCCACCUUUAAACUUCCACCGGGGAGAGGGAGAAGAUGCUUCUUAGCUGAUAAAUUACAGAAGAUGGUGGCCUUGAAUAGGAGACAUGACCCAAAACACUAAAUGGAGCUUUAGAGGCUGCUGCUGGUGUUUCUCCAUGUUCUUCUGGAAUAAUGAGAAGUUGCCAGCACUGGUGUGAGAACGAGACAGUCCUAGUGACCGAGGCACCUGGGGAGCUACAGCUACAGGGAGCUAUGGUUUUGUUCUCUCUCUAUUCCCCACCCUCCCUAAACUACCCCAGAAAAACAGUAAGUUUUAAAAACAGACCCACUAUUGAAUAACAUUAAGUAAAAUGCCCCGUGGUUCCUAGCAGGUUACAAUGCAGUUGUCCUUUUAAAACCAGAAAAAAGUUUAAAGGAGGUGAGAGAAUUCGAACCCCUUCUGCCUUUGUGAGGCUGUGAGUGCUGCAGCAGGACUGAACUGCUGAGAAAAAUCACCUUUCAGAACAGGUUGUUUUCAUUACUUUUGACCAUUAAACUUGCUGUCAGGUUUUUAAUUCUUUAUUAUUAUUAUUUUAGGACCUGUUGUAGUGAAUUGCUACUGAAAAGCCAGUCUAAGGCGAUACGCAGAGCACUCGUAAAGCAGCAGUCACAUUAGGCACCAGCACUUUCUAAAUUGAGAGCAUGUUGCAGUGGACUUGAUGUUUUGCUAUUAAUCUGUGUUGGGAGACUGAAGGACAUGUUCUUCUCCAGUCAUCUUCUCCCAGAAUCCCUGGAAUAGGUAUGAGUCUCAUGUAAAAGGAAAAAAAGCAAGCAAGCAAGCAAACAAACCCACCUUCAGACUAAAGCUUCAUGGAAUUGCUGUUGCUGUACUGGUGCUUGCUUGAGGAAGUAGAUGCCAAAGUAAACUUCAAAGGAACUCCAGACUUCAGUGUUGGAAGAAUGAACAGAGAGCAAGAGCUCUCUUUGGGUUUCAUGAGAGAUAAAUGGACAAAGUAAAAAAACAGCCACCAAAAUUCUAAGUCAUGAAACAGGACAGAAAACAAGAAAAGGCUUUUCUUUACCACCCACAAAAACAAUCAGAUAUUUUCAAUUGUUCAGCGUGGCAGAAACUCUGAGAGCAAGUGCCAAACAAUCCCAUGGAAUGUGCUGACUUUUUCAGCAUUAUCAUACCUUAACAGCAUUAUCAAUAUCCAAAUGUAAAUCAAGCCAGCUUUGUACUGUUCACCUUUUGCCUGGGCACAAUACCUGAGGUUUAAUGAACAGAACAUAAGCUCACAGUGAAUCUCUGAGCUUAUGCUCUCAGUUCCACUCUGAGAGACAAAACAAAUGAGCAAAGAGGGAAAAAAAAAAAAACAAUAGGAAAACUUAAAACAGAUUCUGGAAGAUUCCAGUGUCUCCUGAGAGAGUCACGGUUCUUUAUCCUGAACAUCCUUUUCAAAACAAGAUCCUUCAGCUGUUGUGAGUGAGCCUUUGGGAACAGAUUUGGCUUCCAGCCCAGUGUGCUGCAGCUCCCUGUCCCUGUAAGAAGGCGGCGUGUCUGGAGCACUGGGCCUGGACCCGGAGGGAGGGAGGCAGGCACGGAGCAGGGAUGCUCCUGGGAUGAGCCACAGGUACUGCCACAGUCAGCAGCACCACACUGGAAUGGUGUCCUCCUGCCUGCUCCCCUGACACCCUCACCCUCCUCACAUCCCUGUGCCAGUGUGGUACCUACCCGGAUGUGCCCAGCUCUGCAAAUAACUGUGAGCUCUAAAACAAACCAGGGAACUAUUUGGCUAAAAAGAAAAAAAACCCAACCACUUAAAAAUAGUGAUGUGACAUAACUGCAGAGUGAUGCAGAGCAGGAGCAGGAGCCCUGGCUGUGAGGGGUUGUGGUGAUGGCUGGAAUGGUUUUGGAAUGUUAGUGGAAAACCACAGUUGUGAGCUCUGUGUAGUGGGCAGUGACUGCCUGUUUGUAAAGAAUUAACACCCUGUGUCAUCUCCAGCCUCUUCCUGUGUUUGGUUCCUGUCUGUAAAAUGAGAUGAUGAUAACCCUGGGAUAAGGACGUGCCAGUAUUUGAUUGACAUGCCAAAUUGUGCUGCACAGUCGUGGUGCUGAACUCUGCUACAAAUGUUUGGCCUCACUGACUUCAGGUGUAAUGCAAAGUUAAACAAACAUCUGGCUACAUUUUCCCUGAAAGGUGAGAUAUUUAAAUUCAUUUAAAGGCUGCCUGGCACUAUCGAUCUGCUCUCAGGGUUAAUGUGAAUGAAGCUUUUCCUGGUACUACAAUUUUGGAGACCUGGAGGUGCUCUGAGCUGAGAUGUGCUGAAGGAAGGAGGUAACUGGUACCUUCACUGAUGUUCCAGUGACCCCCUCCCACCUCCUGGUUUCCAUGUGGAACCUACAGCCACUGGCAGCCAGAAUUGCUCUUGAGCAUCCUGCAGUCACACAGUGACCUUGGGUAAGUGACUUUACAAUAAAUCAGUCUCAUGCUUGCUAACAGCUUUUUGGCUGCUGCGUCCACAAACUGGUGCCUUCUCCAGGCAAUUUUUCCAUACCCUCUGCAAAGCUGUCAGACUGACUGCUGGCUCUGGGGGAAUCAACCAGGCCUUGCUCUUGGGCUCACAGUUGCUCUUCGGUACUGUUGUAAUCUGAAAGUUUGCUGCAAUUAGUGCAAAUACCAGAGGGAGAAAAUAAAAGGCUGUUCUCAGAUGUCCUGUAGAGUGAACAACUGAAACAUGAGUGUGGGAUGAGCCAGGAAAACUGGCAUUUUUCCCUGGCUGCACGCCAUAGGGAAGAGACAGUGCCUUGGAAGGGAAGGAGCAGAAAAGUUUGCCAUUGGCUCUGAUGAAUCCCAAUCCUGCUUCUACUGAAGUUGUUGGGAAUCCUCCCAUUGUCUUCAGUGUGAGCAAGAAAGGAUCUUAGGUGAGGAUGGAUGACUCUUUCCCUACUUGAAUGAAGUCUCUUGCCUAUUUAUGGGCCUGCUUCUAUUGAAACCGAGCCUGUUUUAGCCUUUUUGGGUUCUUAGGGACCUGUUUGUAUAAAGCAACUUACCUACCUAUCUUUUUUUUUUCUAUUGUGUGUAUUUUUUGUAUGUUCUGUUGGAAGGUGAAGCCUCUGUAGAAGGGGAUACAAAACCUGAUUUUUAAAUAGUAAUAAACCAAAA